AGAGUUUGAUCAUGGCUCAGGAUAAACGCUGGCGGCGCACAUGAGACAUGCAAGUCGAACGGACUUAACCAUUAGUUUACUAUUGGAGCGGUUAGUGGCGGACUGGUGAGUAACACGUAAGCAACCUGCCUAUCAGAGGGGAACAACAGUUAGAAAUGACUGCUAAUACCGCAUAUGCCUUAACCUUCGCAUGAAGGAAGAGGGAAAGGAGCAAUCCGCUGAUAGAUGGGCUUGCGUCUGAUUAGAUAGUUGGUGGGGUAACGGCCUACCAAGUCAACGAUCAGUAGCCGGACUGAGAGGUUGACCGGCCACAUUGGGACUGAGACACGGCCCAAACUCCUACGGGAGGCAGCAGUGGGGAAUAUUGCACAAUGGGGGAAACCCUGAUGCAGCGACGCCGCGUGAGCGAAGAAGUAUUUCGGUAUGUAAAGCUCUAUCAGCAGGGAAGAAACUGACGGUACCUGACUAAGAAGCACCGG
rnacentral:rRNA from 1 species